rnacentral:rRNA from 1 species
AUGGAGGUUUUCAUGAUGGCUAAUUUGAUUUGUUAUGGUUUUGAUGGUGUGCUUCUUGUGUUUGAACUGAAGCCGUGGAUCACUCAUCAACCUGUCUGUGUUUGUAUGUAUCUACCUACGCAGCUGAAUUAUAAUUAUUUCCGGAUAGGACAGAGGUGCAAUGUUUACAUCCAUGGCAGAAGGUUCUUUAACACUGAACUCAUCAAAGGUCCUUGGACUCAAGAGGAAGAUGACAGAAUUAUUGACCUUGUAAACAAGUAUGGACUAACAAAAUGGUCGCAUUGCAAGGUCAGCUACCAGAACUUCCUACUGCUGAUCCUGGGAUGUUUCCGAACAUGCUCCCGAACAUGUUCAAUUUAUCCGCUCUAG